rnacentral:ncRNA from 1 species
UGAGGCGUCCAGUGCGGAAAAGCGACCGAUCCCGGAGAAGCUGGUGGGAGCCCCAUGGAGAGUUAUUUUUUCUUUGUGAAGGGCAGGGCGCCCUGGAAUAGGUUGACCCCGAGAGAGGGACCCAAGCCCUGGAAAGCAUUGCGGUUCCGGCAGUGUCCGGUGAGCUCUCGCUGGCCCUUGAAAAUCCGGGGGAGAUGGUGUAAAUCUCA